rnacentral:rRNA from 1 species
UAAACUAAAUUCUACCUUUAUUGGAAUCCCGGAAUUUGAAAGAGGUUAAUUUGGUAUAUAUAUUUAGAUGAUAAGGUGUUGCAUAACUAAACAAAUACUAAUUAGGGGUGAUAGAUUUUCCAAUUUCAAUGAUAACUUGAUAAUCAUUAAAUGUAGUAGUACAAGAACACUCUUAAAAUGAUAAGGUUUUAAAAGAUAAAUAAGAUACAUAGAUUUGAAGAAUGUUCUGUUUAAUCACUAAUAUGCUUAAUAAUAUAUAAUAAAUCAAUGCGCAGUCUAUUUCUUUAAGUGAUUAAUAUAUUAAUAAAAACAUAUAUUAAUAAUGUUAAUAUUAGUAAUACAAGUGCAAAACAUGAACUCGGCAAUAAGUCUUUUAACUGUUUAUCAAAAACAUAGCUACAUGCAUUAAUAUGUGGUAAUUUCUGCUCAAUGAAGUUUAAAUAGCCGCAGUACUCUGACUGUGCUAAGGUAGCGCAAUCAAUUGGCUUUUAAUUGGAGUCCGGUAUGAAGGAAAACAUAAAGGGCUACUUUAUUUUUUGCAGCGCGUGAAUUUUCUUAUAAAGUGCAAAUACUUUCAUAAAAAUAAUAGACGAGAAGACCCUAGAAAUUUUAUAGAGAAACUUUUUGUUGGGGCAACAGAGUAGCAAUAUAACCUACUUUUAAUUACAGGAAAAACAUAUUUUGCGAGAAUAAAUUACUCUAGGGAUAACAGCAUAAUUUGCGAAAGUUUGUGACCUCGAUUUUGGAUUAGGGUAUUAACAUUUUAAAAG